rnacentral:rRNA from 1 species
AACGAACGCUGGCGGCAUGCCUAACACAUGCAAGUCGAACGAGACCUCCGGGUGUAGUGGCGCACGGGUGCGUAACGCGUGGGAACCUGCCCGUAGGUUCGGGAUAACUCCUCGACGGGGGUGCUAAUACCGGGUAAUGUCUGCGGACCAAAGAUUUAUCGCCCUUGGGUGGGCCCGCGUUGGAUUGGCUAGUUGGUAUGGGAAAAGCCUACGAAGGCGACGAUCCAUAGCUGGGCUGAGAGGAUGAUCAGCCACUCUGGGACUGAGACACGGCCCAGACUCUUACGGGAGGCAGCAGUGGGGAAUAUUGGAAAAUGGGCGAAAGGCUGAUCCAGCUAUGCUGCGUGAGUGAUGAAGGCCUUAGGGUAGUAAAGCUCUUUUAUCCGGGAUGAUAAUGACAGUACCGGGAGAAUAAGCGCCGGCUAACUCCGUG